CAUAUUCUGGUCAAUCUAUUAAUAUUGUAAAAUCUCAUAUUACUUUCUCUCUAGGUAUUAAUCAUACCAUUUGGGAUAAUAUACUUAAUCUUCUCCAUGCAUCGGAAAAAAGAGGGGGUUGGCAUUAUUUGGGGGCUCUAUUAUCAGGUACAUCACUCAAAGCCUUUGAUUUUUAAUUUCUUCUAAAUAAAAUCACUAAUAAGUUUACAGCUUGAAAAUAGCG
rnacentral:lncRNA from 1 species